CUCAUUACUGGAGCACUGAAAGGCGCUGUAUGAACAAAAUGGCUGUACAUGGCAUAUCCCUAGGAACCAGUCUCUUUCCAUAUUGCUUGAUUGAUUGCUCCAAUUCCUGUCUGGUUAACUGGUUUGCAAUAUUUCUCAGAAGUCCCUUCAGCUCUGCUUCCUUCCAGUGCAGCAGCACUGAGAAUUCAAUGACUUGGGUUGCUUCAAUACAUGCAGUCACACUCAACACCAGUAACUGUCCUUCUUUCUCAAAGCCAGAUUCAGAAUGAUUCAAGGUUUUAAUGGAUUUCAGAUCUGGGACCACACUCAUAUCUGAGAAAAGCUCUCUCAGAUGUUAAUGAACCGAAGCUGUCCUCAUGGCAUUUGCGCAAUCUCACCUCUAUCAGCAUGAUUUAAUGUGGUAGCUGGGGGACAGUUUGACUCACGGUGGGUUUUGCCUGCAAACUCACUCCUGCCAUCCUUACUCAUUUUGCACAGUAUUUACUCUCACUGUCUUGUGUGAAGCGGUUGUGCUGCAAAGGAUUAAAAGUGGUGAAGUCUUUCUCCAAAUAGCUCCCAGAGAGGAACAUUUCAGACAUUACCUGCUGGAGAACUCUCGAGACACGGAUAUUAAUGGCGUUUCUCUCAUUCAGUGAACUCCUCUCACCAGCUUGACACUCAGGGCACCUCCACACAUGCCUCCUGCCUGCAGGCACCUUGGUGGGAUUGAUGUCAUUUGAGGCCAGGGAGUCAGUAAAGAGUGGCCACUGACUCAAGGAGGUGAAGCCAUGAAGUACCUAGCAAAACCCCAUUUCCAGCCCCGUACCCAGCAAAUGAACAUGCUCUUAAUGUCAGUAAAUAAUCAGCUGAACAUCAAGACCACUGAAGCCUGAUGGAUUUGUAUAAUGGAUCUUUAAGAAGUCCCACAUCUCUGUGAAGAUAUUUUAUUUGUAUUUUUAGCAGAAAUUAUGAUAUUCCCUCCUGCUGUAACAAGGCCCAGCAGAAACUGGGUUAUACAAAUUCAACCCAAACUCAUUUUUGCUCUUCUGGAGCAAAUUUUGGCCUUGUCAAAAAGAAAUAUUGCCUGGCACUGACAAGGAAGGAAAUCCCAAGGAAAGCAGAACACAUGGAAUGGACAUCCUGUAAGAAGGUAAUUUUCAGACAGAGGUGUUUUUGGAGAGGUAUCUGCAAGCCCUUUACAUAAUCACAACCACCCUUUUAUCCUCCAGUGACUUCUACUUGUCUGAACUGCCUGUACAUAAACACUCCUAAUACCGCACUGCCUCUUUGUUAAGUAUGUGCAUGGUACCCAGCAAAAACCCCAGACUGCCAUGGAUGUAGCUUCUGUCCUUUCUGUAACUUGUA